rnacentral:rRNA from 1 species
GACAGAGGGUGCAAACGUUGUUCGGAAUUACUGGUCGUAAAGCGCGUGUAGGCGGCUAAGUAAGUCGGGCGUGAAAUCCCACGGCUCAACCGUGGAAGUGCACUCGAAACUGCAUAGCUAGAGUCCUGGAGAGGAAGGUGGAAUGCUUGGUGUAGAGGUGAAAUUCGUAGAUAUCAAGCGGAACACCGGUGGCGAAGGCGGCCUUCUGGACAGUGACUGACGCUGAGACGCGAAAGCUAGGGUAGCAAACGGG